rnacentral:tRNA from 1 species
CCGUCCUUAGUAAAGUUGUUAGUACACUUGACAUGGACAUAAGAUACGUGAGUUCAAUUCCCACAGGACACA